rnacentral:rRNA from 1 species
AGAUUGAACGCUGGCGGCAGGCUUAACACAUGCAAGUCGAGCGGGGAAGGGUAGCUUGCUACCUAACCUAGCGGCGGACGGGUGAGUAAUGCUUAGGAAUCUGCCUAUUAGUGGAGGACAACAUUCCGAAAGGAAUGCUAAUACCGCAUACGUCCUACGGGAGAAAGCAGGGGAUCUUCGGACCUUGCGCUAAUAGAUGAGCCUAAGUCGGAUUAGCUAGUUGGUGGGUAAAGGCCUACAAGGCGACGAUCUGUAGCGGGUCUGAGAGGAUGAUCCGCCACACUGGGACUGAGACACGGCCCAGACUCCUACGGGAGGCAGCAGUGGGAAUAUGGACAGUGGGCGGAAGCCUGAUCCAGCCAUGCCGCGUGUGUGAAGAGGUCCGUUUUGGUGUAAAGCUAUUAAGCGAGGAGGAGCUACGUCUAGUUAAUACCGUAGAGUAGUAGUAGUACGUUACUCGACGAGAACGUAAGACCUACCGGCUAACUCGUGUAGCCAGCACGGA